CGGAUAUUUUAUCUGGGAUACACAAAUAUUUGUCUGCUAUACAUCUUUUACUUCUUCUGCACAAGUAUAGAAUACACAGUGUUUAUAUAUCAACACAGUUUGGUUUUGUUCAACAUGUCAAUUUCAGCCAAAUCUGGAACAUGGAAAGGACAUUACACACAGAAUAACAAUUAUCCUUUUACCAUACAACUUUUU